rnacentral:rRNA from 1 species
GACGAACGCUGGCGGCGUGCUUAACACAUGCAAGUCGAACGAUGAAGCUGGAGCUUGCUCAGGUGGAUUAGUGGCGAACGGGUGAGUAACACGUGAGCAAUCUGCCCUUGACUCUGGGAUAACUGCGGGAAACUGUAGCUAAUACCGGAUACUUUCACUGGAAGGCAUCUUCUGGUGAAGCAAGAAUUUCGGUCAAGGAUGAGCUCGCGGCCUAUCAGCUUGUUGGUGAGGUAACGGCUCACCAAGGCGACGACGGGUAGCCGGCCUGAGAGGGUGACCGGCCACACUGGGACUGAGACACGGCCCAGACUCCUACGGGAGGCAGCAGUGGGGAAUAUUGCACAAUGGGCGCAAGCCUGAUGCAGCAACGCCGCGUGAGGGAUGAAGGCCUUCGGGUUGUAAACCUCUUUUAGCAGGGAAGAAGCGAAAGUGACGGUACCUGCAGAAGAAGCACCGGCUAACUACGUGCCAGCAGCCGCAGUAA